CUCCAAGAAAGUGGAACUGCAAUGUAUAACACUUCAGAGUUUCCUGCUGUGAUAAUAAAGAAGGAAGAACAGGAAGAUCGAUGGGUGCUGUAUCACCAGACCUCUGAAGGCAAUGGGGCUUUCCCAUCUGCUCAUUCAGAAGAGGAGCUGAGACAGAGC